CCUACGGGUGGCAGCAGUGAGGAAUAUUGGUCAAUGGGCGCGAGCCUGAACCAGCCAAGUCGCGUGAGGGAAGACGGUCCUAUGGAUUGUAAACCUCUUUUGUCGGGGAGCAAACGACGCCACGUGUGGCGUUUCGAGAGUACCCGAAGAAAAAGCAUCGGCUAAUUCCGUGCCAGCAGCCGCGGUAAUACGGAGGAUGCGAGCGUUAUCCGGAUUUAUUGGGUUUAAAGGGUGCGCAGGCGGAAGAUCAAGCGAGCGGUAAAAUUGAGGGGCUCAACCUCUUCGAGCCGUUGAAACUGGUGUUCUUGAGUGAGCGAGAGGUAGGCGGAAUGCGUGGUGUAGCGGUGAAAUGCAUAGAUAUCACGAAGAACUCCGAUUGCGAAGGCAGCAUACCGGAGCUCAACUGACGCUCAUGCACGAAGGUGUGGGUAUCGAACAGGAUUAGAUACCCUAGUAGUC
rnacentral:rRNA from 1 species